GAUGAACGCUGGCGGCGUGCCUAAUACAUGCAAGUCGAGCGAACAGACGAGGAGCUUGCUCCUCUGACGUUAGCGGCGGACGGGUGAGUAACACGUGGAUAACCUACCUAUAAGACUGGGAUAACUUCGGGAAACCGGAGCUAAUACCGGAUAAUAUAUUGAACCGUAUGGUUCAAUAGUGAAAGACGGUUUUGCUGUCACUUAUAGAUGGAUCCGCGCCGCAUUAGCUAGUUGGUAAGGUAACGGCUUACCAAGGCAACGAUGCGUAGCCGACCUGAGAGUGUGAGCGGCCACACUGGAACGGAGACACGUUCCAGGCUCCUACGGGAUGCAGCAGUAGGGAAUCUUCCGCAAUAGGCGAAAGCUUGACGGAGCAACGCCACGUGAGUUAUGAAGGUCUUCGGAUCGUAAAACUCUUUUAUUAGGGAAGAACAAAUGUGUAGGUAACUAUGCACGUCUUGACGGUACCUAAUCAGAAAGCCACGGCUAACUACGUG
rnacentral:rRNA from 1 species